rnacentral:rRNA from 1 species
AUGAACGCUGGCGGCGUGCCUAAUACAUGCAAGUCGCGCGAACGGACGAGAAGCUUGCUUCUCUGAUGUUAGCGGCGGACGGGUGAGUAACACGUGGAUAACCUACCUAUAAGACUGGGAUAACUUCGGGAAACCGGAGCUAAUACCGGAUGAUAUUUUGAACCGCAUGGUUCAAAAGUGAAAGACGGUCUUGCCGUCACUUAUAGAUGGAUCCGCGCUGCAUUAGCUAGUUGGUAAGGUAACGGCUUACCAAGGCAACGAUGCAUAGCCGACCUGAGAGGGUGAUCGGCCACACUGGAACUGAGACACGGUCCAGACUCCUACGGGAGGCAGCAGUAGGGAAUCUUCCGCAAUGGGCGAAAGCCUGACGGAGCAACGCCGCGUGAGUGAUGAAGGUCUUCGGAUCGUAAAACUCUGUUAUUAGGGAAGAACAUAUGUGUAAGUAACUGUGCACAUCUUGACGGUACCUAAUCAGAAAGCCACGGCUAACUACGUG